CCAGCACUUGUCUGUCCCAGCCAGAUUGGGGGCUCCUGGAGGCUAGGGACACCGACACGUCCAUCCUUAUCUUACCAGCGCUAGGCACAUGGACAACCAUGGCUUUACUCAGAAGAUUCCGCUUGCCCAAGAAGAAUUCACAGGAAAACUAUAAACUACAGCUGGCAAACCUCUCAGCUUCCUUCUAAGACUCAGACCCAGGCAAAUCAAAUCGAAGCAAUCACUGCCAAUUUUGUGCUGCACCAAUGAGGCCAAGGGCUGAGGAGAUUCAAUGGAAUGAAGAAGGAUCAGACCCGUUCCUACCCAGGAGAAGCUUACAAUCUAGGUGGGGAGAUAAGACACAUGGGAAAGCUAUGCAGAGGAAAAUGAGAUUAGGCCUAAUUACCAGUUGCAGGCCAUAGGGGAAGAGAUUCCACAAGACUGAGCCUCAGAGACAGGCGUAGCACAUGUGAGGGUAGCCAGGACUGAGGGAGCCAGGGCCAGAACAG
ensembl:lncRNA